AUGGCAGCUGGGCCGCUGGAGCUAUGGAACGACCAGUCGAUGCAGAUCUUGGUCCUCCUAAGCCUCGGGCUCCAGCUCGUCCUCUUCGUCUUCGCCGGUGUCCGCCGGCGUGAAGCCCUCCUCGUGCCGAGGUUAUUCCUGUGGCUGGCGUACCUCAUGGCUGACUCCACCGCCGUGUAUGCCGUGGGCCACCUGUCGUUCAGCGGCGCUGUGCGGCCCGUGCGUGAGCACCAGCUCGUUGCGUUCUGGGCGCCUUUCCUGCUGCUGCACCUCGGCGGCCCGGACAACAUCACCGCCUACGCGUUCCAGGACAACCAGCUCUGGCUCCGCCACCUCCAGAUCCUCGUCGUGCAGGUCCUCGGAGCGGCUUAUGUCCUGUACAAGCACAUCGCUGGUGGUAGCAGCGGGAGCUUGCUGCGGCCUGCCUCCGCUUUGAUGUUCAUCGUCGGCGUUGUCAAGUAUGGGGAGAAGACGUGGGCGCUCAAGUGCAGCACCCUGGAGAGCAUGGGCGCCUCCGUCAAGACGCAGCCGCCGGCCAUCCACAACCAUUUCCACCCUCAGGACGGAGCCACGGAGGAGGAGUUCAAUCUGAGACGAGCCCACUCGUUGUUCCACAUC
rnacentral:rRNA from 1 species